rnacentral:rRNA from 1 species
GACGAACGCUGGCGGCGUGCCUAAUACAUGCAAGUAGAACGCUGAAGAGAGGAGCUUACUCUUCUUGGAUGAGUUGCGAACGGGUGAGUAACGCGUAGGUAACCUGCCUUGUAGCGGGGGAUAACUAUUGGAAACGAUAGCUAAUACCGCAUAACAAUGGAUGACACAUGUCAUUUAUUUGAAAGGGGCAAUUGCUCCACUACAAGAUGGACCUGCGUUGUAUUAGCUAGUAGGUGAGGUAAUGGCUCACCUAGGCGACGAUACAUAGCCGACCUGAGAGGGUGAUCGGCCACACUGGGACUGAGACACGGCCCAGGCUCCUACGGGAGGCAGCAGUAGGGAAUCUUCGGCAAUGGGGGCAACCCUGACCGAGCAACGCCGCGUGAGUGAAGAAGGUUUUCGGAUCGUAAAGCUCGGUUGUAAGUCAAGAACGGGUGUGAGAGUGGAAAGUUCACACUGUGACGGUAGCUUACCAGAAAGGGACGGCUAACUACGUG